UAACAAGGUUUCCGUAGGUGAACCUGCGGAAGGAUCAUUACAGAGUAUCAUGCCCUCACGGGUAGAUCUCCCACCCUUGUGUAUUUAUACCAUGUUGCUUUGGCGAGCCGCACACUUGUGUGCCUGGGGCCUUUGGGCUUCGGCGUGCUCGCCAGAAACAAAACUCUAGAUUAUUUUUGUCGUCUGAGUACUAUAUUAAUAGUUAAAACUUUCAACAACGGAUCUCUUGGUUCUGGCAUCGAUGAAGAACGCAGCGAAAUGCGAUAAGUAAUGUGAAUUGCAGAAUUCAGUGAAUCAUCGAAUCUUUGAACGCACAUUGCGCCCCUUGGUAUUCCGGGGGGCAUGCCUGUUCGAGCGUCAUUUCAACCCUCAAGCUCUGCUUGGUAUUGAGCUCUUGCCAGUGAUGGCAGGCUCUAAAAUCAGUGGCGGUGCCGUUGGGUCCUGAGCGUAGUAAUACUUCUCGCUACUGGAUUCCUGCGUGCGUCUUGCCAUAACCCCAAAUUUUUCUUAGGUGACCU
rnacentral:rRNA from 1 species